UAUAUACACUCUGGAGAGUCUCAAAGAAAGAGCGCCGAAGGUGUACGGCAGCGCAGGCUGUUUAUCUCUCAGGCAAAAGGACAGAGCAGACAUA
rfam:Anaerostipes sp. CAG:276 genomic scaffold, scf158